CUUAGCUCAGCAGGUUAGAGCGCACGGCUGUUAACCGUUAGGUCAAAGGUUCGAAUCCUUUAGA
rnacentral:tRNA from 1 species